rnacentral:lncRNA from 1 species
GAUUGACACAACCGCCAGUGCCCGUAAGAUUAUCACUGUGUACAGUUCGCUCCAGUAAUAAUAGUAAAGAUGAAUAGCAGAAGUAAAAAAUACUGGUCUUAAUAAAUGAAAAUAAGCCAUAUACCGAAGUAGCACAAAAUGAUAUACAGACUGGCAAUAAUUCCCCUAUAUUCCCCUUAGAGGUUUAUGACAUUCAUAAUGCCAACAUUGCAGAAGAUUUUAGCAAUGACAUUAUCAUCUUUGAGGAACCACCAGACGUUGCAGCAGAAGAAGAAAUAUUUAGUCACGAUCUCACACCAUGUUUCAACUUAGCAACAGAAUUAUUAAACCAGAGUAUCAUGCAGAAUAUGUAUCUCUUAAAAUGAACAACAUAGUUCCAGAUCAACUGGAUGAAACAGAUGUAGAAGAUGAAACGGAGUGAAACUUUUAUUUUGAACUAUAUAAAAGAAGUAAAUCUUAUGUUAUUUUUGUGAAUAAUUAUUUUCUUAUUUGUUUUAGAAAUUAAAAAAUAGCUAUUUUUAUGUACCUCUGAUUUUUGCGUUUUCUUAGAUUUUAAGUUGUUGUUCUUUGAAAGUGUUUUUUGAGUUUUAUUUUUAUACCAAUUUUUGUAUAGCUCUUCUAUUUGAGUAUUAUUUACCUACUUUUAAGUAUUUCAUCCUAGCACCAAAAACAUGUUAAAAGAAUUUAGGGUUUUGUUUUUAACUUAGAAUGUAUUUUGAUUAAUAAAAAAUAAAACCU